rnacentral:rRNA from 1 species
GCUGAACGCUGGCGGCGUGCCUAAUACAUGCAAGUCGAGCGAACGGACGAGAAGCUUGCUUCUCUGAUGUUAGCGGCGGACGGGUGAGUAACACGUGGAUAACCUACCUAUAAGACUGGGUUAACUUCGGGAAACCGGAGCUAAUACCGGAUAAUAUUUUGAACCGCAUGGUUCAAAAGUGAAAGACGGUCUUGCUGUCACUUAUAGAUGGAUCCGCGCUGCAUUAGCUAGUUGGUAAGGUAACGGCUUACCAAGGCAACGAUGCAUAGCCGACCUGAGAGGGUGAUCGGCCACACUGGAACUGAGACACGGUCCAGACUCCUACGGGAGGCAGCAGUAGGGAAUCUUCCGCAAUGGGCGAAAGCCUGACGGAGCAACGCCGCGUGAGUGAUGAAGGUCUUCGGAUCGUAAAACUCUGUUAUUAGGGAAGAACAUAUGUGUAAGUAACUGUGCACAUCUUGACGGUACCUAAUCAGAAAGCCACGGCUAACUACGUG